rnacentral:misc_RNA from 1 species
UUUGUUUCAUUUACUGAAUGGUGCUCGGACGUCACGGUUAAAACGGGGUUUCCAAGUCUUCCGGCGGGCGCGCACCGCCCGAGGGCGGCGGCCGGGACGGGGCCCAGCGGCCCGCCGAAGCAACCAGAGAGGUACACAGGGGGUGUGCGGGACCGGCCCGGGGGCCGGCCGCGGUCACACGGUAAUGAUCCUUCCGCAGGUUCACCUACGGAAA